CUUGGUCAUUUAGAGGAAGUAAAAGUCGUAACAAGGUUUCCGUAGGUGAACCUGCGGAAGGAUCAUUAUUGAAAUAAACCUGAUGGGUUGUUGCUGGUUCUCUAGGGAGCAUGUGCACGCCUUGUCAUCUUUAUAUCUCCACCUGUGCACCUUUUGUAGACCUUCUAGGUCUAUGUUUCUUCAUUUACCCCAAUGUAUGUUAAUAGAAUGUUGUGACUAUAAAAAUAUAUACAACUUUCAGCAACGGAUCUCUUGGCUCUCGCAUCGAUGAAGAACGCAGCGAAAUGCGAUAAGUAAUGUGAAUUGCAGAAUUCAGUGAAUCAUCGAAUCUUUGAACGCACCUUGCGCUCCUUGGUAUUCCGAGGAGCAUGCCUGUUUGAGUGUCAUUAAUAUAUCAACCUUCACUUGUUGAAUGGUUUGGAUGUGGGGGUUUGCUGGUCUCUUAAAGGGUUCAGCUCCUCUGAAAUGCAUUAGCAGAACAAUCUGUUCAUUGGUGUGAUAACUAUCUACGCUCUUGAAUAAGAUGCAGUUCAGCUUUCUAACUGUCCUUGGACAAUUUAUCAUUUAUGUGACCUCAAAUCAGGUAGGACUUUUUUCUGAACUUAAGCAUAUCAAUAAGCGGAGGA
rnacentral:rRNA from 1 species